CCUACGGGUGGCAGCAGUGAGGAAUAUUGGUCAAUGGCCGGAAGGCUGGACCAGCCAUGCCGCGUGAAGGUCAGUGCCCUAUGGGCGUUAAACUUCUUUUGUGCGGGAGCAAUAAUGGUCACGUGUGGCCAGACGAGAGUACCGUACGAAUAAGCAUCGGCUAACUCCGUGCCAGCAGCGGCGGUAAUACGGGGGAUGCAAGCGUUAUCCGGAUUUAUUGGGUUUAAAGGGUGCGUAGGCUGGGAGGUAAGUCAGCGGGGAAAUGCCCCCGCUCAACGGGGUGAAGUGCCAUUGAUACUGCCAUGCUGGAAUGCGUAUGCCGUGGGAGGAAUGUGUGGUGUAGCGGUGAAAGGCAUAGAUAUCACACAGAACACAGAGUGCGAAGGCAUCUCACGAAUCCGCGAUUGACGCUGAUGAACGAAAGCGUGGGUAUCAAACAGGAUGAGAUACCCGUGUAGUC
rnacentral:rRNA from 1 species